CCUACGGGAGGCAGCAGUGGGGAAUCUUGCACAAUGGGCGAAAGCCUGAUGCAGCGAUGCCGCGUGCGGGAAGAAGGCCCUAGGGUUGUAAACCGCUUUCAGGAGGGAAGAAAAUGACGGUACCUCCAGAAGAAGGUGCGGCCAACUACGUGCCAGCAGCCGCGGUGACACGUAGGCACCAAGCGUUAUCCGGAUUUAUUGGGCGUAAAGAGCUCGUAGGCGGUUUGGUAAGUCGGGUGUGAAAACUCUGGGCUCAACCCAGAGAGGCCACUCGAUACUGCUAUGACUAGAGUACGGUAGGGGAGCGGGGAAUUCCUGGUGUAGCGGUGAAAUGCGCAGAUAUCAGGAGGAACACCAGCGGCGAAGGCGCCGCUCUGGGCCGUAACUGACGCUGAGGAGCGAAAGCAUGGGUAGCAAACAGGAUUAGAUACCCUGGUAGUCCAUGCCGUAAACGUUGGGCACUAGGUGUGGGUCUCAACCAACGAGAUCCGCGCCGUCGCUAACGCAUUAAGUGC
rnacentral:rRNA from 1 species